AUGUCUUCUCGCAUCUGGAUUUCUGGGCUUUGUACCUUUGCAAUAUGUGCUUUUCAUGCAGAAUCUGCUCAAGAUUUAGGUCCCGGAAUGUUGCUGGCCUCGUUCGACGCGGCGGCCGCGCCGGCGACUGUUCCACGGUUUAACGGCGUGCUUUUUGGAGGGAAGGGAAGGACCUUCUCUCGCAAGGGAAGGCCCCAUAUCCAGCGACAAGGUGAGGGGGACACCCAGAUCCGCAGCGGCACCGGCGCGCCCUCGUCCACCUGGGCCUCGAGGUCGGCCAUGCAGGCUAAUUUGAGAGCAGCCACACGGAGACCGACCGCUCCGCAUGCCCACUCCUGCGACCGCGCUCCCCCUUCCCCUUCCCCACCUACCCCCACCGCCGCCGCCGUCGAUGGCUCGCCUCCCACCGCCCCCGCAACCACCACUCGACGCCCCCAUGCCCCGCCAGAUCAGAUCCACAGGGUCGCCCCCCAGGUCCCUCCCUCCCGGGGUCCCGCAGGGCUCGACGGUGAUUCGGAUGCCCCUGCCAUUCGUUUACCUUGCUUUCCCAGAGAAGCUGCGCCUGAUUGGAUCGGUCUCUCCGGCGACGCUUCAGGCAACAAGGAUGCAGAGGUGGACAGAGCAGGCGGUCAGGAUCCGCGACGACGUCGACUCGUGGAUGCAGUGCGUGAAGGAGUGGAGGGAGGCGGAUCUCGCUGCGGAGAGGAGUCUGGAUCCAUUUCAAAAGCUCUGCAGAGUGAGGUACGCUCAAACAUGCCAGAUCCAAGUGGAUCGAGAGCUGCUCAACCUCGCUCGGAGGAUCUACUUCUAAGGCACGAAGGCGGAGAAGGCCCAGAUGCCCAGUCCGAGGGAGCAGCCAGAGGCGUUCAUUGUUUGGGCGAAAUCAGAAGCGAAGUGCGGAGACGCCGGCCGCAGGGCGCGAUGGGAAGGGAUCCUCGGGCGCCUGCCUUCCAGCCCCCCUUCGGACUCGGAAGAGGUGGAUCCAUGGCCCUACCUGUCUCCAGUAUCGGAUCGGGAUUGCGGCAGCUACAACCCCUAAAUCUCAAAGCUCUGGCAGUUUUGGUCACGGGGGACAGCUACUGUGCGGCGCAUGAGGACUGUGGAGCCGGGCAUGGGGUGCACAGUGCGAUGGCUGAAUGCAUCUUCUCGGUGGAGGGAGCCUGGAAAGAGUUGUCCAAGCAGAGUGAGCCCAUGCCCCCGUCCACACCCACUCGCCAUGAGCGACCGAUGAGAGACAGCGUUUACCCAAGCUCAGAUCAGCGAGGAAGAGGAGAUUUCAGAAGUGAUGCUGGCGGAGACAACAUCAAUGAGGAUCCCAAGGAGAGGUCGCGAAUUAGUACAGAAGCUGGUUACCAGGAUCCUAGCAUUCGCCACGGAUCGCGAGCUGUCCUUGUUCCUGACAGGCAGAUCGACACCGGCGAGGGUGGUGAUCUCUUGGGCAAUGGCGGCACAGGAAUCACCGCUGAGAGCGAGGCGGAUUCAUUGGCAAGCAUUCUGGAGAUUACAACUGCAGGAGAGCAUCACAAUAGCCGUGAAUCUGACAGCGUCCCAGUAACAGAUUUUGGAUCGAAGCAAAAAUCAGAGGCGCUUCUGGUCAUGGAUGCAUCAGGGGGGUUCAGAUUCGUGGACUUGAGGAGAAGCAACAAGAUUCAAAAUGGCCACAUGGAUGACGCAACCGCCAACUCACCCACCAGACUGCCAGUGGCGGCUACCACCCCCGAUCCAGAUCUCAUGGCGGAUGGAGGGCGCGGGCGGGGCAGAGCCAAGAACAGAGGUGGUAGGGGGGAUCAAGCAGGGAAUUGGCCUCCCGACCACCAGCAGAUCAACCAGGGGAGCGGGCUGCAGCCGCAGCAGCCGUUCUUCGGUUUCGGUUACCAGGGCCCGCCGCCGCCAUGGGCUUUCCCAGUUUUUGUUGAGUCUGAGGAGGUCUCAAAGCAGGAACUGGCAACAGAGUUUGCCAGCAUCUACAAAAUCAAUUGGCCCUGGCCCAUCAAUGCUCUAGAUGAGUGGACAUUUCUAGUCAAAUUCCCUCCUGAGAUUGAUGUGGAGCAGGUGUAUGGAUACCCCUGCUUCGGACUGUCCAAAGAAAACACUAUAGUGAAUGUAGAAGUAUGGAAAGGGGAGAUCACUGCCGAAGAAGAGUUACAAAAGGUCUGGAUCAAGUUAAGAAGCAUGAACCCCAAGUGGUGUGAAUGGUCACUGCUGGACCAGAUCACAUCUACAUUUGGUGUCCUGCUGGAUGUGGACUGGCAGCACAAUUUCCAGAACUUCUAUGAAACUAUCAGAGUGAAAAUAGCCUGUAAAGACCACUCCAGGGUGCCAAAGGAGAGAAUUUUUGGAAACCAUGGUAAGAUGUACAAAAUCAAAGUUGAGGUAGAGCCACCAAAUGCUGUUGUGGAUGAACAAGUCCAAGGACAAACCACAGGUGAUCAGCAGAGUGGAGGAACUGACAACAACCACAACAGCAAAAACAAUGAUGAUACAACCUCUCAUAAAAGUUCCAAAAGCUCAGAUAAUGGAUCUAGGACCAGCUCUAGUAGUGGAAUGAACAGGAGAUCCAGUGAUUACUGCCAGGAAGAGAACAUCAAAAGUAGUGCACUUAGUCGCUUGCUAGAAGAUGGGAACCUGGGGGAUGGUUUCAGCCUCCUGAGGGAAAUGGAAAGCUGGGAGGAUGAUGGAAUUAGCACUGAAGAUGGAGAGGAUGACAUGUCAAUGGAAACCCUGCACCUGCCUGGAAGCAAUGCUGAAGAAGCUGUGGAGGAGAAGAGCCAAAAAUAUGAAGAAGACUUCCCACCAACCAACAACAGAACAAUGCAAAAAAUUGGGGUCAUGUCCAAGCUGCCAGAAUGA
rnacentral:rRNA from 1 species